rnacentral:tRNA from 1 species
GCCAUGGUGGCUCAGUGGUUGAGCGUCAACCUCUGAACCAGGAGGUCAGGGUUUGAUUCCCAGUCAGGGCU